UAGGGAAUAUUGCACAAUGGGGGAAACCCUGAUGCAGCGACGCCGCGUGAGGGAAGAAGGUUUUCGGAUUGUAAACCUCUGUCUUCGGUGACGAAACAAGACGGUAGCCGAGGAGGAAGCCACGGCUAACUACGUGCCAGCAGCCGCGGUAAUACGUAGGUGGCAAGCGUUGUCCGGAAUUACUGGGUGUAAAGGGAGCGUAGGCGGGAGUGCAAGUUGAAUGUGAAAACUAUGGGCUCAACCCAUAGUUGCGUUCAAAACUGCAUUUCUUGAGUGAAGUAGAGGUAAGCGGAAUUCCUAGUGUAGCGGUGAAAUGCGUAAAUAUUAGGAGGAACACCAGUGGCGAAGGCGGCUUACUGGGCUUUAACUGACGCUGAGGCUCGAAAGCGUGGGUAGCAAACAGGAUUAGAUACCC
rnacentral:rRNA from 1 species